UUAGCACCAUAUUCGAAUAACGUUCUACAAAUGAUAAUGGGGCAAAAAAUUCUUUCCUACCUUCUCUUGAUCAAUGUUGCUCUAUUGGUAUUGUUAAUUUAUGAUGGGAAAUCAAGUGCAACUCGCUUUCCCUCAGUAACACUAAGAGCAAAUGGUGAUUUCGUACUACCUGAAAAUGUUGAUAAAUUUGGAAGACAAGGCUCAAGAGUCUUGGCUGAUAAUAUUUAUUACAACAUAAAACAAAUCAUAGGAGGUCAUGGUCGAAGCCACCAUCAUUCAUUGCAACCUGGUAAUGUUGGUCGUAUUUUAUCAGAAAUCCCAUCAGGUCCAGAUCCCAUUCAUAACCCCGAUUCCCCUAGUGCACGUGUUUAUGGUUGAUGUGUGGAUGGAAUAGAUGUAUUCAAUAUUUAUAAAAUAAAUUGUGAGAUUCUGUAUACACUUGAUGUACUAGUUCAAUGUUAAUAAUUAAAUGUUAUAAACUCAAGUUAUAGAGUUCA